GUGGAGAUCCCCACGUUCCCUUCGGCCCAGGGAGGCUGCCUCAGUCCCGGCCUCCCCCAGCCAGCCAGGGUGAUUCCCUGGCCUCUCACUGCAACACAAGAAGCAGAGAAGGAUUCCAAGCAAGAGCAAUGGCAAGGGGGGGAAAAAAGCAGCCCAUUUUCCCCCAAGGCAAUAGAAAAGGCUGCAACGGUCACUGGAUCAGGAAGAUGCAGGGAAGAAGACACGGUCCGGGUCAGGAAAAUCACUGUUUGGAAAGAACACAGCCAAUAGAAACAUCUUCAGUGAGGUGAUGUAGAAGGAACUGGACCACAGCAGCCUGGUACCUGUUUCUGGGGAGAGACCUGCUCACAGGCACCCACCACACAGACCACGGAAGCAGACAAGCACAAGGGCAAGCUGAUGGGACCAGAAACCACGUGCAUGAACAUGCAGCCAUCGAUAACACUGAACAGGGGGACCGACCCGUUUCCGCGCGGGAAAACUCAAUGGCAUGCAUCCGGUGGGACACUGCCAAGGCAAGGGGAUCAAGGAUGUGGUGUGCAAUGCAAAGCCCUUUCUCAAAGCAAGUUGCAAGGCACAGCCUGGUAGCUGUACUUCCUGACCAGGGAUAAAACAGCUCUGCAGAGCCAGCUCCCAGCUCAAUCCUGUUUGAGAGGAGCCAAGCAUCCUAUUUAAACAGCUCAAGUAUCUUCCCUUUGCUUAUAGUUGUUUAGGAUGAUGCCCCCAAUAACAACAACAGAGCAAAGGCCCUAGUAAAACCAGCAGUUCAACAGCUUUACGGUGAUGAUGAAAAAGCAGCAGCUCAGAAAAGUGAGGGAAAACUUUGAUUUCUUCCUGGAGCACUGAAGAGGAAGGGGAAAAAAAAAGAAAAACCCCACUCGUCUGCUGAGGAACUCCAGCGUCCUUGUGCCUGGCUGGGCCACGUGUGUUUGGGUUUUGAAACCUGCAUUAAGCUGUAAUUACUGCAGUAAUGUCAGAAAAUAUUUCCUAAGGGCAUAUAACAGUAAGCCCUCUACAGCUGUAACCACAGACAUUAACCGGAGUUGGGGGAGAAAAACUCAAGCAACAACAACAACAGCAGCUCCUGUAAAGCUUGGGAGCUGGUGUUUGUUAUCCCCCGAGGAGCACCACCGCCUGGUACCUGGCUCCUAUCUUCCUCAUUUCACCCGGUGGAACUUAAAAGGUUUCCUCUACUUAAAGGGAAUUAAUCACAAGAGGAGCAAGGCUGGAUGGCUCGAGCAGCUACAACAGACACGUCUGCCCCACUGCUAGGGGCUUCCUACCCAGCCUUACCUGGUAAAGCCACACGUAAACACAUGCCCGCCCAUCACCACGCUGCUUUGAAGCUGGUUGUGCCAAAGCAGGCGGGAGCCGUGUGACCCCAGCGCCUGUGACACCACGCGGCUCAUGGAGGAAGAAACAGGAGCCAAAAAAAAACCCAAACCCAACAAAAUAAACCAACCCACGAACAAGAAGCCACUUACCUCACACAAACCCUGGCAAAAAAAAGUGGCGCGUAAAGCCUGGCACGAAGCGAGCCCUGACUAAGAAGCCGAUUAAAUAACUUUGUUCAGGGACUGACCCAUCCCGGAAAAGAAUAAAAACAGCAAGAAAAAAAAAGUGCUGGACGAGUGGAUGUUCCCCGGCAGCACGCUGCUCAGGGAGGCUGGCCCGCUUGCAGAAAUCCCACACCCCUGCCUGCUCAGGCAAACGUCCAAGGUGGCCAGGUCAACCCAAACCAGCUCCAAACCAAUCAGGUCACCCCAAAGUAUCCAGGUCACCCACUGCCAGUCCCAAACUCUCCAGGUUGCCCCAAACCAUCUGUGCCACCUUAAAUUACCCAGGUUGCUAACGUCCAGCCCCAAAGCAGGUUGCCUCAAACUGACAGGUUACCCCAAAUCAGCCCUGAGUUCGGCAGGUCACCCUGAAUUGGCAAAGCGGCCCCAAAACAGCCAGGUCACCCAUGUCCAGCCCCAAAGUGGCUGGGUCGCCUGCCAAGCACCCCAAAUCAUCCCA